CCUUGGCUUUUGUUCUCAUUUCAUCUCUUGUUUCUUUCCUGAAAUGAGACAUUCAGUCAUUAACUAAGCUACCUAGUUUAUCUCCAAUCUUUUCAAGUUUUGCUUAGCUUAUCCAAAAUAUUUCUUCGUGUUUUUGCAAUCAAUAUAAACUGAUAGAAGAGGAAUAGGGAGAACUGAGGCAUAGCAAGAGCAGAGCAUACAGAGAAGAUUUGGUGGACCACAACUAGAAUUACUAUAUGGGGAGGCCAUUACAUUAAUGCCUUCAGCUUUCCGCACAGCCCAUAUUGCUUUGGUGGACGCUUUGAAAUGUCUGGUCGUUAUAACUCAGUCACUCAAGACACCUCACUUAAAAAUUCUAGUUAUGGAAUAAUUGUGAUGCCAUAGGAAGAAAAUUAAGCAAGCUGUCUACUCUUGGGAAAUGUUAACAAAUGCCUGUGCAUACUGUGAAGAGUCCACGGGGAAGAAAAUGAGCCACACAAGAUGGUCCCACCUAUAUUUAUUAUACACUGAUCACUAUGAAGACAUAAAGAUUUGUUAAAAGUGGCCUUUGAAGAGCAUGUAAUUGUGUCCAGAAUUGGCGGGUUCUUGGUCUCACUGACUUCAAGAAUGAAGCCGCAGACCCUCACGGCUAAGACAUCCAAGGUCAAAGGGCCUACAUCUGGUGAAGGUCUUGCUGCUUUAUCCCAUGGUGGAAGGCAGAUGGGUUCACAGAAAAUAGAAAUUCUUUACACAGUCUUCUGAUCAAUAGAAUCAAAGCCCUUUUUCUGUAAAUACUGGCUAGAGAGUUGCUAACUUCCAUAAUGGAGAAAUGGAAAAAGCAGUUUCUUUCUCCAAUAAAACCACAAAAGCCAUGGUUUUAAAAGGUAAUUUUAUUUAGAAAAUAAGGUAAGUAAAAUAAAGAAAAUAUGAUGCAGCUAUAUUGGGUGGAUAGAAUGAAAAAAAAGGAAAGAAAGUAUUUUGCUGAUAUUACUUCUGCCACCAACAGCAACUCAUCCCCAGAUACCUAACAGUGAUUUUCAGAUGACUGGUACAUGCCAUGAUACAUGCGGUAUACUCCCUGGAUGGCAACAACAGGGUCUGACUCUCGUCUUCCUUUUAUCAUUUUAUUUCACCUGGUCUGUUCAUCAAGG
rnacentral:lncRNA from 10 species